GACGUAGGGCGCAAGCGUUGUCCGGAUUUAUUGGGCGUAAAGAGCUCGUAGGUGGUUUGUCGCGUUGUUCGUGAAAACUCACAACUCAAUUGUGGGCGUGCGGGCGAUACGGGCAGACUGGAGUACUGCAGGGGAGACUGGAAUUCCUGGUGUAGCGGUGGAAUGCGCAGAUAUCAGGAGGAACACCGGUGGCGAAGGCGGGUCUCUGGGCAGUAACUGACGCUGAGGAGCGAAAGCGUGGGGAGCGAACAGG
rnacentral:rRNA from 1 species